UCAGCACCUGUUAGGACAAAAUCGAGUGUUAAAAUGUACUAAUAUUGGCAUUAUCACUAGUACAAUUAAAGGCCCAAAAUCAUCUAAGCGCCUUAAUUGGUGCAAUCUAGCUCGGACGCAGACCGACUAACGACGUCGGACAGACAGGUACGUGCAUCGUGGUAUUUAAUUCAUGAUGAUCGUUAGUUUUUCAGAGAGGGACUACUGCUGAUGUUUCGGCUCAGCACACACAGCUGUAGCGGUAUCAGAACACACUGCAGAGAUAAGUUUCGGCGAGACGUGUCGCAUGCGCAGUGCACCAUACUGGCUGGAACAGAACAGUGUGGCUUCAAUUUGCAGCUUCCUGGAAAACAUUUUUCUGAAUUCAGUCACUGUUUCACGUGGUGGAUCAUGGAAACGUCACGUCAGAGCAAUCUGCGUGAUCGUUCCAAUCAAUGUUCGGACCAGUUCGGCGCCCAACUGGUGUAGUACGUAUUAUCCAUGUGCGGCCCGUAAAGAUUGGGGCAAAUUUGUAACGAUUCUAUAGCGAAAGGCGUUGCCGUACGGGUCGUUCCUAUAAGAUUUACUUGAUCCCGUGCCAAAUCAUCAGAACCCGUGCUCCCACGGGUUAAUAUUCUUACAAUCUAUUGAAUUUAAAAAUUAUUUAUAAAUUAAACUCCAAGCUAAUAAUUAAAAUUGUUUACCUCCUAUUGUCUCAUUUUUUAAUACUUCCACGUAACACUCAUAUAGAUGGGCACUUAUCUUUAUCUAAUAAUGAUUGAUUUUUAAUUAGUAAUUACUCUAUACACAUUUUCAUCCACAUUCAUUUUUUUUUAUUUUAUAUCACACCUCCAUACAUUGUGUUUAGUAUAUAAUCAAUACUUUUCAUCACUCUCUCACAUACAUGUAUAAAUGGUCUACAUGGUGACACUCAUCAUACGUAUAUACCUUAACUUAGUAUUUCUAUAUUAAUAAUGAUAUAAAUAGGUAAUUUAGAAUCAUAUAUUAGUUUACUUUUGGAUAUUUCUGUAUGAUGCACAUGAAGAUAAUUAGAUUAAGACUUGGAUAUUUAAUUUAGGUUAUUUUUAAUAACAACAUACGUGGGUAACUUACAAAUUUAGAAUGGCAUUUUAAGUUAUGCUUUAUAAUGAUAUGCGUGAGUAAAUUGGAUGAUGAUUAUGGGAUUACUUUAGAUUAUUUUUUAUAAUUGCAAAGCUCAGUAAUUUAGAUAUAGGUUUUGGGUUAUUUUAGAAUACUUUCAUAAUGAUAGUGGUGGGUAAUUUUUUAGAAAAUAUAAUAUACCAAUGACUACAAUUAUUAGAGUUUACAUGAUUGAUGUUUAAUUUUGAUGUUUCUGAUAUUUGUGAGAAUUUCUAGGAUUUGUCUUUUUUUUUCUAACAUGUCUCGUGAGAACUAAUGCGGAGUCUCCAAUAGAAAACAAUGAGGUCAUAUUGCUACAAUACUAUUACCUUGAGUUACCUCUCAUUUGUUAAAUAUUCAAACACAAUACAUAUACAAAUAUAUGCUUAUUAUCUUCAUCCCAAUUGUGAUAGAUUUGAAUUAGUAGUUACUCUAUAAUAUUUUCAUCCACAUUUAUUAUCUUAAACUUUUCACUUUGUAUCGCAAGUAUGCGCUUGAAUUUGUUUAAUGUACCCUAAAUUUGAGCUAUAGUUUUAACAUAGAAAUCUAUUUUCUCAUCACUGACUCUAUAUCUUUAUAAAUGAUACCACACACAUCAUGCGUAUAUACCUUAAUUGUUAUAUCAUAUACCAAUAGUGUAAGAAAUAGACGAUUUAGAAUCAUAUAUUAGUGUAUAUUUUUAAUGAAGGCGAUUUGGAUUGAAAUUUAGGGAUGCCUCAUGUUAUUUUUAAUAAUGACAUAUGUGGGUAAUAUAGAUGUAAGUUUAAGGUGUUACUUUAAGUUAUUUUUUUUAGUAUUAGUGGUGCCAAUUUAGUUGCAAAUUAAGAGGGUUAUUCUAAAUUUUUUUUAUAAUAGCAUAAAUGGGUAAUUUUGAUGAACAUCGGGGUUACUUUAGUUUAUUUUAUAUAACGGUAGAGGUGGGUAAUUUUGAUAUAGAUUUAAGGGGUUACUUUAGGCUAUUUUUAUAAUGGCAUAGGUGGGUAAUUUUUUAGAAAAUAUAAUAGAUCCAAUGGCUAUGAUGAUUUGAAUCUACCGAUUGAUGGCUAGAUGUUUUGUUUUUUUGUGAGAAUUUCUAGAAUUUCUCUCUUUUUCUAGAGUGUCCAUCUAGGAUCUUAGG
rnacentral:lncRNA from 1 species